AUUGAACGCUGGCGGAAUGCUUUACACAUGCAAGUCGAGCGGCAGCGCGGUCUUCGGACUGGCGGCGAGCGGCGAACGGGUGAGUAAUACAUCGGAACAUGCCCAGUCGUGGGGGAUAACACUUCGAAAGAAGUGCUAAUACCGCAUACGUCCUGAGGGAGAAAGCGGGGGAUCGCAAGACCUCGCGCGAUUGGAGUGGCCGAUGUCAGAUUAGCUAGUUGGCGGGGUAAAGGCCUACCAAGGCAACGAUCUGUAGCUGGUCUGAGAGGGUGAUCAGCCACACUGGGACUGAGACACGGCCAAGACUCAUACGGGAGGCAGCAGUGGGGAAGUUUGGGCAAUGGGGGCACCCCUGAUCCAGCCAUUCAGCGUGAGUGAAGAAGGCCUUCGGGUUGUAAAGCUCUUUCGGCAGGAACGAAACGGUGAGCUCUAACAUAGCUUGCUAAUGACGGUACCUGAAGAAGAAGCACCGGCUAACUACGUGCCAGCCGCCGCCGUAAUAC
rnacentral:rRNA from 1 species